rnacentral:lncRNA from 1 species
AGGAUUGAACGAGAUGGUGCUAGAAGGGCUCGCUUAGCACCGCGCCCUGUGUUCAGACACUGCAGGAUCCAUCAUCAUCAUCCCUGUUGACUCAGGCUAGGCGAACCUCGGCGUCACCAUCCGCAAAAGAGGAACAGUAUCCGCCCUGUACCUUGCUUCAUGGGAUUGUGGUGGAUUUGAAUGAAAUGUAUGCAGAGCUUGCACUGUGUCUGGCACGCUGAGAAUAGCCAAGGACUGUUGUCCUUUAUAUUGUUCUUGAGCCUGUACUGUGCCGGCGUAGGCAGACACCAGGACAUCCUGCUGCCUCUAAUAAUACCGUCACCCCCACGUCCUAGAGCUUUAUGCCUAGAUGGGGUGCAGACUGCACCAAGUCUCCCGUUUUCUCGUUUUCUAGAGAGAACUCGUGCAGUGGGGAUUGCUACUUUCAGAAGGAAACUGGAGAAGGUCGUGAACAUUCACCCCAGUCCUUUUUAUCCAGCGAGAUUCACGCCUGGAAAACUGCUGUCUGGUCAGAAAGACUUUGCUGAGAAGAGCCAAGAGCUGAAACCCAGCCGAGGUGUUUCAGGAAAGAGUUUCUGUGGGACAGGAAACAAGGAAGAGCUUGACUGAACAGUUCUGGGUCUCAAGCAGUUGCCGUCAGAUGAUGGCUGGAGCUAGGAGAGGAGAGGGCUGCAGCAGCUGGAGGCCGGCUGGAACUCUCCCACCCCUCGUAGGCAUGUGCUUUCUCCACGUGGGAGAGUAUGGGCUUCCUCACAGCAUGGCGGCCGCAGCACCAUCAGCGUGCUUACAUGGUGGUCCAGGGCUCUGAUGAGAGUGCUCAACUCACAUGGCAGAACUGAAUUGCCUUUUAUGGCCUCACACUGAAGUCAGACGGCAUCACUUCCAUGCAUUCUGUUGGUUAUAAGUGAGUCAGAAGCUUACCUAGUUUCAAGGGGAAG